UACGGAGGGUGCGAGCGUUGUCCGGAAUCACUGGGCGUAAAGGGCGCGUAGGUGGCUCGUGAAGCGUGCGGUGAAAGUCCGAGGCUCAACCUCGGAUCGGCCGUGGAUACUCUCGGGCUCGAGCUUACUAGAGGCAGAUGGAAUUCCGGGUGUAGCGGUGGAAUGCGUAGAGAUCCGGAAGAACACCGGUGGCGAAGGCGGUCUGCUGGGGUAAUGCUGACACUGAUGCGCGACAGCGGUGGGGAGCAAACAGG
rnacentral:rRNA from 1 species